ACCAGUGUGGCGUAAUGGUUUGAGCACUGGACUAUGACUCUGGAGACCAGGGUUCAGUUCCCAGAUUGGCC